CAGUCGCCACGGUAAAACAGAGGGUGCAAGCGUUAAUCGGAAUUACUGGGCGUAAAGCGCGCGUAGGUGGUUUGUUAAGUUGGAUGUGAAAUCCCCGGGCUCAACCUGGGAACUGCAUCCAAAACUGGCAGGCUAGAGUAGGGCAGAGGGUGGUGGAAUUUCCUGUGUAGCGGUGAAAUGCGUAGAUAUAGGAAGGAACACCAGUGGCGAAGGCGACCACCUGGGCUCAUACUGACACUGAGGUGCGAAAGCGUGGGGAGCAAACAGGAUUAGAUACCCGGGUAGUCCCUGUCUCUUAUAU
rnacentral:rRNA from 1 species